UACAGAGGGUGCGAGCGUUAAUCGGAAUUACUGGGCGUAAAGCGUGCGUAGACGGUUAUUUAAGUCGGGUGUGAAAGCCCCGGGCUCAACCUGGGAAUUGCAUUCGAGACUGAAUAGCUAGGGUACGGUAGAGGGAAGUGGAAUUCCCGGUGUAGCGGUGAAAUGCGCAGAUAUCGGGAAGAACACCCGUGGCGAAGGCGGCUCUCUGGGACGGUACUGACGCUGAGACGCGAAAGCGUGGGGAGCGAUCCGG
rnacentral:rRNA from 1 species